rnacentral:rRNA from 1 species
UACGUAGGGUGCAAGCGUUAAUCGGAAUUACUGGGCGUAAAGCGUGCGCAGGCGGUUUUGUAAGCCAGAUGUGAAAUCCCCGGGCUUAACCUGGGAAUGGCAUUUGGGACUGCAAGGCUGGAGUGUGGCAGAGGAGACUGGAAUUCCCGGUGUAGCAGUGAAAUGCGUAGAGAUGCGGAGGAACACCGAUGGCGAAGGCAGCCCCCUGGGCCAACACUGACGCUCAGGCACGAAAGCGUGGGGAGCAAACAGG